GUUUAGCAGCUAGCGUUAGCGACAUAGCUACCAUUUGAAGAUGUGUGUGUUUUUCUCUGUUAGCCGUGUGCUGUGUCUACUGGCGCUGACCAUGGCCAUCCUCUCCUCUACAUUGGAAGUGCGUUCCCAGGGAAUGAGGCCUCUAAAUUGCUGUUUGAAGACAUCCAAAAAACGUCCAGCAGAACCAAUCACACUGUGUCUUAUUCAGAUGCCCCGUGGGAAAUGUAACCUCAAAGCAUACAUUUUCACCAGUGGGGAGCAGUGGAAGUGCAUCAACCCCAAAGCCAGAUGGCUCCCUGCUGAGCUAGCAUCACUGGAACAGAGAGGAAUACAGUGUGACCCACUGAUUAAAUACCCAUCAGGCCAUGAUCCUAGAUCAUCAUCAUCGUCAGCAGCAGGUUCAGCAGCCUCUCUCAAGCAGGAACUACAGAACUAAGAUCUCUCUCAAGCAGGAACUACAGAACUAAGAUCUCUCUCAAGCAGGGACUACAGAACUAAGAUCUCUCUCAAGCAGGAACUACAGAACUAAGAUAUCUCUCAACCAGGAACUACAGAACUAAGAUCUCUCUCAACCAGGGACUACAGAACUAAGAUAAUAAGAAGACAGUGAAAAUGAAGAUUAUGAUUUGUGUGAUUUAAGUAUUGCAAGCUCUCUUUAUCAGAUUAUUUAUGUAUUUAUUUAUUUAUUUAUUUCAACCUCAUCCCGGCAUUAAUUUAUUCUACUCAAUUCAUUAAGGUGUUUU